AACUCGCAGAACCAAAAUUUAACGAACAUGAUACCCGUUCAUCAACCCCAACAAGUAGUAAGUACGAGUCAGCCUCAGCAAAUAAUGACGCAACAGUCUCAACCACAAGUAAUUAGUCAGCCUAAUUCAAUGCAAGGCCAGCCUCAGCAAACCAUGCCGAUAAUUUCAAAUUCUAUGCCUGCGCAACCUCAAACUCAGACUAAUCUUAUCCAAUCACAGCCAGUCAUGUCUCAACAAUCUCAGGCACAGCCGAUGAUGACCCAACAAAAUCAGAUUCCUAAUCAACCGCAACAACAGAUGAUGUCACAAAACACGGUUGUGCAGUCUCAACCGCAACAUAUGAUGGCUCAGCCGACAACACAGCAGAAUCAACCACAACAAAUGAUGGGACAGCAGUCUAACUCACAGUCUCAGCGUCAACAUUGAUAUCGAUACAGACACAGCCCCAGCAAAUGAUGCAGCAGCAAGCGCCCAUUCAAACUCAGCAAGUUAUCUCGCAACAGCCAGCAAAUACUGUUCAGCCCCAGCAGUUGCUCGCUCAGCAGAUGCAAUCACACAUGAUGUCUCAGGCAAGCACACCCCCAGUUCAAUCACAACCUAUUCUUACGCAAACUAAUCUUCAGUCGCAACCUCAGCAAAUGAUGACGCAGCCGUCUAAUCAAGUUCAGCCUCAGCAAUUGAUGAAUCAACAAUCCAACAAUAUUCAACCACAGCAAUCGGUGAUGCCUCCUCAGACAAUGGUUCAAAACCAAAUGAUGCCCCAGCAAAUGAUGGCACAGCCAUCUAUGAUGCCGCCAACCAAUCACAUGACAAAUCAACAAGCUAAUUUUACUGUUACCAACAUUCAACCGACAAAUCAGCCAGCCCAGACCCAGCAUUUACCGAAUUAUCCUGUAUCUCAACCUUCAUCGGGCCAUCACUACAUCCCGUCUUCUCUAAACCAGCAAUCUUAUCCGUCUGCAAUGUCAAUGCUAAAUGAAGUGGAAAUAAGUGAAAACAAAAUGAUUGAGCAGCUAGGAGUCCAGUCUACGCUAGUUGAAUCUCUCAAUGAUGUCCAAAAUACCACCAACAAUGGAGACGAAGCGCAACUGGAAGAUCAUGCAGAUUCUGAAAGCUUCACAGGGUUGGCAAAGGCUCUAUUGACCAAAUCCAGUCGCUUGGUACAUGCACCUCCACCUGUCUCUAAAAUUGUUCAUUACGCUAAAACCAGUGGCAGGUGAGGGCAGUUAAAGCAAAUUUUCUUUUGGUUUUGUUUUUUGUUUCCUCCCGGUUUUUGUUGAUCCCUUUUUUUGGCCUUCUUUU
rnacentral:lncRNA from 1 species